UACGUAGGGACCGAGCGUUGUCCGGAUUCAUUGGGCGUAAAGAGCGUGUAGGCGGCCCCUUAAGUCCUGCGUGAAAUCCUGCGGCUCAACCGCAGACGGUCGUGGGAAACUGGAGGGCUAGAGUGCGGGAGAGGAGAGUGGAAUUCCCGGUGUAGCGGUGAAAUGCGCAGAUAUCGGGAAGAACACCCGUGGCGAAGGCGGCUCUCUGGAACGCAACUGACGCUGAGACGCGAAAGCGUGGGGAGCAAACAGG
rnacentral:rRNA from 1 species